AGAGUUUGAUCAUGGCUCAGGACGAACGCUGGCGGCGUGCUUAACACAUGCAAGUCGAACGAUGAAGCUUAGCUUGCUAGGUGGAUAAGUGGCGGACGGGUGAGUAAUGCGUGGGAAUCUGCCCUGCACUUUGGGAUAAGCCUGGAAAACUGGGUCUAAUUCCAAUAGGACACACUAUCUUUACGGUGGUGUGUGGAAAGCUUUUGCGGUGUGAGAUGAGCCUGCGUCCUAUCAGCUAGUUGGUGGGGUAAUGGCCUACCAAGGCGUCGACGGGUAGCCCGCCUGAGAGGGUGUACGGCCACAUUGGGACUGAGACACGGCCCAGACUCCUACGGAGGCAGCACUGGGGAAUAUUGCGCAAUGGGCGAAAGCCUGAUGCAGCGACGCCGCGUUGGGGAUGAAGGCCUUCGGGUUGUAAACUCCUUUCGCUAGGGACGAAGAGUUAUAUUGACGGUACCUGGAGAAUAAGCACCUGCUAACUACGUGCCAGCAGCCGCGGUAAUACGUAGGGUGCGAGCGUUGUCCGGAAUUACUGGGCGUAAAGAGUUCGUAGGUGGUUUGUCGCGUCGUCUGUGAAAUCCCGGGGCUUAACUCCGGGCGUGCAGGCGAUACGGGCAUAACUUGAGUGCUGUAGGGGAGACUGGAAUUCCUUGUGUAGCAGUGAAAUGCGUUGAUAUAAGGAGGAACACCAAUGGCGAAGGCAGGUCUCUGGGCAGUAACUGACGCUGAGGAGCGAAAGCAUGGGUAGCGAACAGGAUUAGAUACCCUGGUAGUCCAUGCCGUAAACGGUGGGCGCUAGGUGUAGGGGACUUCCACGUCUUCUGUGCCGCAGCUAACGCAUUAAGCGGCCCGCCUGGGGAGUACGAGCGCAAGGCUAAAACUCAAAUGAAUUGACGG
rnacentral:rRNA from 1 species